rfam:Oryza glaberrima chromosome 1 Oglab01_0236_10, whole genome shotgun sequence.
AAGAAGAGGAGGUUUCCGUGUAUAAUGUUUGACUGUCUGUCUUAUUUGAAAAAAUUAUAAAAAAAUUAAAAAAACAAGUCACACAUAAAAUAUUAAUUAUGUUUAUCAUCUAACAACAAUGAAAAUAUGAAUUAUAAAAAAAUUUCAUAUAAGACGGACAGUUAAAGUUGGACACGGAAACUCAGGGUUUGUCUUUUU